AACGUAGGAGACAAACGUUAUCCGGAGUUACUGGGCGUAAAGGGCGUGUAGGUGGUUGCGUAAGUCUGGCGUGAAAUAUCUCGGCUUAACCGAGGCAGGUCGUCGGAUACUGCGUAACUGGAGGACGGUAGAGGCGUGCGGAAUUCCGGGUGUAGUGGUGAAAUGCGUAGAGAUCCGGAGGAACACCAGUGGCGAAGGCGACACGCUGGGCCGUACCUGACACUGAUGCGCGACAGCAUGGGGAGCAAACAGG
rnacentral:rRNA from 1 species